rnacentral:rRNA from 1 species
UACGUAGGGUGCAAGCGUUGUCCGGAAUUAUUGGGCGUAAAGAGCUCGUAGGCGGUUUGUCGCGUCUGCUGUGAAAACUCGGGGCUUAACUCCGGGCCUGCAGUGGGUACGGGCAGGACUAGAGUGCGGGUAGGGGAGACUGGAAUUCCUGGUGUAGCGGUGAAAUGCGCAGAUAUCGGGAGGAACACCGGUGGCGAAGGC